UACGUAGGGGGCAAGCGUUGUCCGGAUUUAUUGGGCGUAAAGCGCUCGCAGGUGGUUCGUUGCGUCGUGCGUGAAAGACCCCGGCUCAACUGGGGAGGGUCGUGCGAUACGGGCGAACUGGAGGCCAGUAGGGGGAUGCGGAAUUCCGGGUGUAGUGGUGGAAUGCGUAGAGAUCCGGAGGAACACCAGCGGCGAAGGCGGCAUCCUGGACCGGCAUUGACGCUGAGGAGCGAAAGCCAGGGGAGCAAACGGG
rnacentral:rRNA from 1 species